rnacentral:rRNA from 1 species
AGCGAACGCUGGCGGCAGGCCUAACACAUGCAAGUCGAACGGACCCUUCGGGGUUAGUGGCGGACGGGUGAGUAACACGUGGGAACGUGCCUUUAGGUUCGGAAUAGCUCCGGGAAACGGGUGGUAAUGCCGAAUGUGCCCUUCGGGGGAAAGAUUUAUCGCCUUUAGAGCGGCCCGCGUCUGAUUAGCUAGUUGGGGAGGUAACGGCUCACCAAGGCGACGAUCAGUAGCUGGUCUGAGAGGAUGACCAGCCACACUGGGACUGAGACACGGCCCAGACUCCUACGGGAGGCAGCAGUGGGGAAUCUUGCGCAAUGGGCGAAAGCCUGACGCAGCCAUGCCGCGUGAAUGAUGAAGGUCUUAGGAUUGUAAAAUUCUUUCACCGGAGACGAUAAUGACGGUACCCGGAGAAGAAGCCCCGGCUAACUUCGUG